rnacentral:rRNA from 1 species
CGGAACGGGUGAGUAACGCGUGAGGAACCUGCCUCAAAGAGGGGGACAACAGUUGGAAACGACUGCUAAUACCGCAUAAGCCCACGGCUCGGCAUCGAGCAGAGGGAAAAGGAGCAAUCCGCUUUGAGAUGGCCUCGCGUCCGAUUAGCUAGUUGGUGAGGUAACGGCCCACCAAGGCGACGAUCAGUAGCCGACCUGAGAGGGUGACCGGCCACAUUGGGACUGAGACACGGCCCAA